rnacentral:tRNA from 1 species
CGCGUCACUUUCACGAACAGCGAUCCCAACAUGAUCCGGCUCUUCCUCGCGUGGCUCGCACUGGUCGACGUCGC